GUCAACAUGAAUCUGUCAGUCCUCUUAUCAAAGCGAGUCUUCACUUAGGACAUUGCUUCCUUGUUCAAUGACUAACAUACUGGGUAACAGCCGGAACUUCAUUUCGACAACGCCAACACUGUUCUUGAUGAGAAAUGUAUUCUUCUGACAGCUGGGACCAUGCUGCACCCACACAAUACCACACAACCACAACCAGAGUCUGGAUCAGCAGUCCAGCGUGGGGCUUAGAGCUGUGGGGAGACCAUGAGGACCAACCUUGUGGAUGAUAUCUGGGUGGUUCUUAGGUGAAGAACCUUCUCUGACCAGUCCCUACCAGUAAGAGCAGUACCAGAUGUCCU